GCCUGACGCAGCCAUGCCGCGUGAGUGAUGAAGGCUCUAGGGUUGUAAAGCUCUUUCGCUAGGGAAGAUAAUGACGGUACCUAGCCAAGAAGCCCCGGCUAACUCCGUGCCAGCACCCGCGGUAAUA
rnacentral:rRNA from 1 species